GAGGGUAUAGCUCAGUGGUAGAGCAUGCUUAGCAUGCAUGAGGUCCUAGGUUCAAUCCCCAGUACCUCCA
rnacentral:tRNA from 1 species